UCGCGAAAACUUGUCAAUGCACGAAAGUGUGAACAGGGAAUCCUGAGUGCUCAUGUUUUACAUGGGCUUUUGCCAAGAGCUAAUAUCUUGGCGAAUAAGUGGUGGGUAAGACGGGUGCCAGCCGCCGCGGUAACCCCCGCGCCACUAGUGGGGAUCACAAUUAUUUGGUCUAAAGCGUCCGUAGCCGGUCUUGCAAAUUCUCUGUGAAAUCGUUCAGCUUAACUGAACGGCGGGCAGAGGGGACUGCUAGACUUGGAACCAGGAAGGGUCAGAAGUAUUCUUGAGGGAGCGGUAAAAUGUUAUAAUCUCAAGAGGACUACCGAUGGCGAAGGCAUCUGACUGGAAUGGAUUCGACGGUGAGGGACGAAAGCCAGGGGAGCAAACCGG
rnacentral:rRNA from 1 species